CGGACGGGUGAGUAAUGUCUGGGAAACUGCCUGAUGGAGGGGGAUAACUACUGGAAACGGUAGCUAAUACCGCAUAACGUCGCAAGACCAAAGAGGGGGACCUUCGGGCCCCUUGCCAUCGGAUGUGCCCAGAUGGGAUUAGCUAGUAGGUGGGGCAAAGGCUCACCUAGGCGACGAUCCCUAGCUGGUCUGAGAGGAUGACCAGCCACACUGGAACUGAGACACGGUCCAG
rnacentral:rRNA from 1 species